GAGAGCAGAGCAGAGGCUCGCUCUCUGGUUCAGGUUCAUCCCUGUUUGGCAUCUGUUGGGACUUUUUCUGCUAUUUUUUUCCCCUGUUUUUGGAAGCAGAAGAUCCCACUGUUCCAACUGGUGGGAUCUUUCUUUUAGUUUUUGCAGACGGUUUUGAACCAUCCCAGAGGAUCCCUGAUCCAUCAUUUCAGAAACAUGAUCAUCAGACUGGGCAGGCUUACACCUGGAUACUUCCGCCUUCUUCAGAGGCAGGUGGCUGGUGAGGUCCAGACCCAGUCACACGACCGCACCGUUAACCAGAUCGCCAUGAUGCUGGCCAUCAUGGGUCUUAGUUUGUCUUAUUACAGCGCCAAACAGAUGACAGAGAAGGUCCACGUCCAGCCGGCACCCUGAAGAGACGCGGUCGCUCCACAGUCUUGAGAUGACGGAUGAACCAAUGACAACUGGAGGAGACCACAGAGGUGGAGGCAGGAAGCGAGAUGUGGUGGUGUGUCUCUGGACAGCACUUUUCUCACCUCAGUCUUUGAUCUCACCCAUCCACUGAUUCCCUGGGAUCCUCCACACAUAAGUGGCAGAGCUUUAUAGGG